rnacentral:tRNA from 1 species
GGGGGUAUGUUCUAACCUGGCAUGAUUCGAGCUUUGGGAGCUUGCGAUCCCGGUUCAAAUCCGGGUACCCUCA